rnacentral:rRNA from 1 species
AUACGGAGGGUGCAAGCGUUAUUCGGAAUCACUGGGCGUAAAGGGUGCGUAGGCGGUUUGAUAAGUCUGAUGUGAAAUCCUAUGGCUCAACCAUAGAGCUGCAUUGGAAACUGUCAGACUAGAAUACUGAAGGGGCAGAUGGAAUUAGUGGUGUAGGGGUAAAAUCCGUAGAUAUCACUAGGAAUACCGAAAGCGAAAGCGAUCUGCUGGGAAGUUAUUGACGCUGAGGCACGAAAGCGUGGGGAGCAAACGGGAUUAGAUACCCUAGUAGUCC